rnacentral:rRNA from 1 species
GACGAACGCUGGCGGCGUGCUUAACACAUGCAAGUCGAACGGAAAGGCCCUGCUUUUGUGGGGUGCUAGAGUGGCGAACGGGUGAGUAACACGUGAGUAACCUGCCCUUGACUUUGGGAUAACUUCAGGAAACUGGGGCUAAUACCGGAUAGGAGCUCCUGCUGCAUGGUGGGGGUUGGACAGCUUCGGCGGUUGGGGAUGGACUCGCGGCUUAUCAGCUUGUUGGUGGGGUAGUGGCUUACCAAGGCUUUGACGGGUAGCCGGCCUGAGAGGGUGGCCGGCCACAUGGGGACUAAGAGACGGACCAGACUCGUACGGUGGGCAGCGGUGGGGAGUAUUACACAGUGGGCGGAAGCCUGAUGCAGCAGCGCCGCGUGCGGGAUGACGGCCUUCGGGUUGUAAACCGCUUUCGCCUGUGACGAAGCGUGAGUGACGGUAAUGGGUAAAGAAGCACCGGCUAACUACGUG